GAUCGCGUGUCCUAAUGGAUAAGGCGUCCGACUUCGAAUCGGAAGUUUGUGGGUUCAAGUCCCAUCGUGAUCG